rnacentral:rRNA from 1 species
AUUGAACGCUGGCGGCAGGCCUAACACAUGCAAGUCGAGCUAGCGGCGGACGGGUGAGUAAUGUCGGGGAAAAUGCCUGAUGGAGUGGGGUAACUACUGGAAACGGUAGCUAAUACCGCAUAACAUCAGCUGUGCCCAGAUGGGAUUAGCUAGUAGGUGGGGUAACGGCUCACCUAGGCGACGAUCCCUAGCUGGUCUGAGAGGAUGACCAGCCACACUGGAACUGAGACACGGUCCAGACCCCUACGGGAGGCAGCAGUGGGGAAUAUUGCACAAUGGGCGCAAGCCUGAUGCAGCCAUGCCGCGUGUGUGAAGAAGGCCUUCGGGUUGUAAAGCACUUUCAGCGGGGAGGCGUUACCCGCAGAAGAAGCACCGGCUAACUCCGUGCCAGCAGCCGCGGUAAUAC